GGGCGCGUAGCUCAGGGGGAGAGCACUACCUUGACACGGUAGGGGGCAGUGGUUCGAAACCACUCGUGCCCA
rnacentral:tRNA from 1 species